UUCUGAACAUCUUUUGGCCCUAUACUGUUAUGGCCAGAUUCUCAUCAAGUUUUGAUCCAUUCUAUUGAACGGUACCUACUUCCAGUCAUCCUUUGGGCUUGGAGAGAAUUGUAUUAACAGGAUUGUUUGUGGAACAGGACUUGGAAACUGUGUUUUUCAUUUUUUUUUUAUCUCUCUGCAAUCCUUUGUGGAUCACACUUUUUUCCAGAUGACUUCUAAUUAUUUUGGUGAGACUACAGUUCUAGUGAAUGAAGGACUAUGCAAUUAAAGUUAUUAUUUGGUGGUGUGUUCUCAGCAGCCAAGCAUGGCAUCCCAGGAUGGCCAGCACCACAGCUGCAUCGGUGCCUUUCUGUACCUUUAUGAUGUAUAACCUCUGGAGUUCUCUCAGCACCAGUACCUAGAAGAAAUGAGACAAUCCUCUGUGUUCGUGAGUUCUGCACUGCUGACUGUCUCCCAGUGUGCUGACAAACCCAAGUGAUUAUCUUCUGCACUUGAUGACUGUCCCUCAUUCACCUGUCUCAGCACCAGAGGACAGGAAUGAUCAGGUCCAGUCAACCACGAAGGAGAACGCACUCGCAAGUGUAAGGCUGAACUGUUGCUGCCUCCAGCUGGCAUUCAGCUCACAAGCUGGACAAACAUGGCCUACAGCUACAACUGUAAACACACAGGGAGAAGUUCUCCACCCAUUGCCAAGUACUUUUAUGGCUCAGAACCGGUCUUCAUGGGAGAAGUUGGACGUGCACUGCCAGCAUGAUCAUCUGGAAUGGAGUACAAAGGAGAAAAGCUUUCUUGAUAACGUUGCUAUGUAUAUCAUCAUAAGGGAUCUGCAGUGACUGGAAGGAUCCGCACGCAGGUCUGGAUUCCUUUGCUCUGCAGUGAAAGAACAGCAGAACAAGCAUUACCUUUUCAUGGCUUCUAUACACUGGGAACUCCAAGCCCAAGGAACCAACAGUGAUGCUGGUGCAUCAAUAAAGAAAACACCUUUUUGGAAAUGUAUGUGCUGUCCUCCAUAUAAAAGUGGCCCAGCUUGCCUAGCAUGGGUGUUUCUUGCUUGUUU